rnacentral:rRNA from 1 species
ACUUAAAGGAAUUGGCGGGGGAGCACAACAACGGGUGGAGCCUGCGGUUUAAUUGGACUCAACGCCGGACAACUCACCGGGGACGACAGCAAAAUGUAGGCCAGGCUGAAGACCUUGCCUUAAUCGCUGAGAGGAGGUGCAUGGCCGUCGCCAGUUCGUACUGUGAAGCAUCCUGUUAAGUCAGGCAACGAGCGAGACCCGUGCCCACUGUUGCCAGCAUAUCCUCCGGGAUGAUGGGUACUCUGUGGGGACCGCCGGUGUUAAAUCGGAGGAAGGUGCGGGCCACGGUAGGUCAGUAUGCCCCGAAUUUCCCGGGCUACACGCGGGCUACAAUGAAUGGGACAAUGGGUCCCUCCCCUGAAAAGGGCUGGUAAUCUCACAAACCCAUCCUUAGUUCGG